GGGUCAGUAGGUUGGUCGUGCCACCGGUACGUACUGGCCUCACUGAUUCCUCCUUCCUGAAGAACCGUAAUGCCAUUAAUUUGGUGUUGCGGGGAAACAGGACUGUUACUUUGAAAAAAUUAGAGUGUUUAAAGCAAGCUAACGCUUGAAUACAUUAGCAUGGAAUAAUGGAAUAGGACGAUCGAUCCUAUUUUGUUGGUUUCUAGGAUUGACGUA
rnacentral:rRNA from 1 species